rnacentral:rRNA from 1 species
ACAGAGGGUGCGAGCGUUAAUCGGAAUUACUGGGCGUAAAGCGCACGUAGGCGGCGUGAUAAGUUGGAUGUGAAAUCCCCGGGCUUAACUUGGGAAUUGCAUUCAAGACUGUCUCGCUGGAGUCUGGGAGAGAGAAGUGGAAUUCCAGGUGUAGCGGUGAAAUGCGUAGAUAUCUGGAGGAACAUCAGUGGCGAAGGCGGCUUCUUGGCCCAAAACUGACGCUGAGGUGCGAAAGCGUGGGGAUCAAACAGGAUUAGAUACCCUGGUAGUCCACGCUGUAAACGAUGAGAACUAGACGUUGGAGGGAUUAGCCUUUCAGUGUCGCAGCUAACGCGCUAAGUUCUCCGCCUGGGGAGUACGGCCGCAAGGUUG